CUCCCAAACCCCUGUGAACAUACCUAUACGUUGCCUCGGCGGAUCAGCCCGCGCCCCGUAAAACGGGACGGCCCGCCGCAGGACCCACAAACCCUGAAUUUUAUUGUAACUUCUGAGUUUAAAAAACAAAUAAAUCAAAACUUUCAACAACGGAUCUCUUGGUUCUGGCAUCGAUGAAGAACGCAGCAAAAUGCGAUAAGUAAUGUGAAUUGCAGAAUUCAGUGAAUCAUCGAAUCUUUGAACGCACAUUGCGCCCGCCAGUAUUCUGGCGGGCAUGCCUGUUCGAGCGUCAUUUCAACCCUCAAGCCCCCGGGUUUGGUGUUGGGGAUCGGGCUGCGGUUCUACCGCGUCCCGGCCCCGAAAUCUAGUGGCGGUCUCGCUGCAGCCUCCAUUGCGUAGUAGCUAACACCUCGCAACUGGAACGCGGCGCGGCCAAGCCGUUAAACCCCCAACUUCUGAAUGUUGACCUCGGAUCAGGUAGGAAUACCCGCUGAACUUAAGCAUAUCAAUAAGCGGAGGAAAAGAAACCAACAGGGAUUGCCCUAGUAACGGCGAGUGAAGCGGCAACAGCUCAAAUUUGAAAUCUGGCUCUCGGGCCCGAGUUGUAAUUUGUAGAGGAUGCUUUUGAUGCGGUGCCUUCCGAGUUCCCUGGAACGGGACGCCAUAGAGGGUGAGAGCCCCGUCUGGUUGGAUGCCAAAUCUCUGUAAAGCUCCUUCGACGAGUCGAGUAGUUUGGGAAUGCUGCUCUAAAUGGGAGGUAUAUGUCUUCUAAAGCUAAAUAUUGGCCAGAGACCGAUAGCGCACAAGUAGAGUGAUCGAAAGAUGAAAAGCACUUUGAAAAGAGAGUUAAAAAGUACGUGAAAUUGUUGAAAGGGAAGCGUUUAUGACCAGACUUGGGCUUGGUUAAUCAUCUGGGGUUCUCCCCAGUGCACUUUUCCAGUCCAGGCCAGCAUCAGUUUUCGCCGGGGGAUAAAGGCUUCGGGAAUGUGGCUCUCUCCGGGGAGUGUUAUAGCCCGUUGCGUAAUACCCUGGCGGGGACUGA
rnacentral:rRNA from 1 species